UACGUAGGGGCGAGCGUUGUCCGGAUUUACUGGGCGUAAAGGGUGAGUAGGCGGUUAUAUAUGUCAGGUGUAAAAAGCUAUGGCUUAACCAUAGUAAGCACUUGAAACUGUAUGACUUGAGUGCUGGAGAGGAAAGCGGAAUUCCUAGUGUAGCGGUGAAAUGCGUAGAUAUUAGGAGGAACACCAGUGGCGAAGGCGGCUUUCUGGACUGUAACUGACACUGAGGCACGAAAGCGUGGGGAGCAAACAGGAUUAGAUACCCCGGUAGUCCCU
rnacentral:rRNA from 1 species